rnacentral:rRNA from 1 species
AAACUGGGGUAGUUAAUUAAUUAUUAUUUUAAAAUAUAAUUUAUAUAUAAUCAUCCAAAACAAUUGAAUAAUUUAGUUACCAUAGGGAUAACAGCGCAAUUUUAUUUUAAAGCUCUUAUUUAAAAAAAAGAUUACGACCUCGAUGUUGAAUUAAUAGCCUAUCCUUUAAAGCAAAUUUUAAAAUAGGAAGUCUGUUCGACUUUUAAAAAAUUACAUGAUUUGAGUUCAGACCGGUGUAAGCCAGGUCGGUUUCUAUCUUUUAAUUAUACUUUUACAGUACGAAAGGACCUAAAAAUUCAAUUAAAUUGAAUUAAUUGGCAGAAAAAUGCAUUAGAUUUAGAUUCUAAUAAGACU